AGCUCCAAAAGCAUAUAUUAAAGUUGUUGCGGUUAAAAAGCUCGUAGUCGAAUGUCUGUUGAGGUAGGCAGGUCCGCCCCCUGGGUGUGCAUCUUGCCUCACUUGGCAUCUUCGUGGAUAACGAUACUGCACUUGAUUGUGUGGUUCGGUAGUCACGACAGUUACCUUGAGGAAAUUAGAGUGUUUCAAGCAGGCUUUAGCCUUGAAUACGUUAGCAUGGUAUAACAUGAUAGGAUGUCAAGUCUAUUUGUUGGCUUCUGGGGUUGAUGUAAUGGCGAACAGGAACAGUUGAGGACUCUAGUAUCAAGAUGCCAGAGGUGAAAUUCUUGGAUUUUCUGGCGACUAACAAUUGCGAACGCUAUAGUCAGGGAUGUUU
rnacentral:rRNA from 1 species